CCCUCGAUAGCUCAGUUGGCAGUGCGGAGGACUGUAGAUGUUACAACGGUGAUCCUUAGGUCGCUGGUUUAAAUCCAGCUCGAGGGA
rnacentral:tRNA from 1 species